CCUACGGGGGGCUGCAGUGGGGAAUAUUGGACAAUGGGGGGAACCCUGAUCCAGCCAUGCCGCGUGUGUGAAGAAGGCCCUCGGGUUGUAAAGCACUUUCAGUGAGGAAGAACGCCUGGUGGUUAAUACCCAUCAGGAAAGACAUCACUCACAGAAGAAGCACCGGCUAACUCCGUGCCAGCAGCCGCGGUAAUACGGAGGGUGCGAGCGUUAAUCGGAAUUACUGGGCGUAAAGCGCGCGUAGGUGGCUUGAUAAGCCGGUUGUGAAAGCCCCGGGCUCAACCUGGGAACGGCAUCCGGAACUGUCAAGCUAGAGUGCAGGAGAGGAAGGUAGAAUUCCCGGUGUAGCGGUGAAAUGCGUAGAGAUCGGGAGGAAUACCAGUGGCGAAGGCGGCCUUCUGGACCGACACUGACACUGAGGUGCGAAAGCGUGGGUAGCAAACAGGAUUAGAUACCCCAGUAGUC
rnacentral:rRNA from 1 species